CUCAGGAGCCUAGCCCCCGGAAGUCCCGCCCCCAUUCUCGGUUCUCUGGUGACACUGACAGUUUUGUGUUACAAUCUGAGCCAGUCAGAGUUUGUCGCUGUGCCGGUCCGGAGCGGCUUGUAGGGACUGAGCAUGCUCAGUAACAGCGACUGAAGCCGCUGCCCGGCCCAUGGCUCUGCCCUGCCUCGAAGUGGCAGUCUGUUCCUGCUGGGAGGGGACAGACAGACUCCGUGCAGAGACCCAACUGAAUGCGCGGGAGAGGCAAACAGCUGGAGGCAGGAGAAAGGGGCUGAGGGGUUGGAGUUGGAGUUGGGGCACUGCUAGACAGCGGCCGGGGGCCAGUCAUCGGGAUCGGGCUGUGCAGAGGGUACCGAAGUUAACACAGAUGGGAUAUGGAGAACAACUAUUCAGAUUUCUUCAUACCAGCCCUUCAUAGUCAAAGUUGAUAAGUCCCCCUUCAGUCUUCUUUUCUCAAAACUAAACAUGCCCCAGUUUUUUUUAACCUUUCUUCAUAGGUCAGGUUUUCUAAAGAUUUUAUGGUUUGUGUUGCUGUCCUCUGGACUUUCUCCAGUUUAUCCAAAUCUAUCCUAAUGUGUGACACCCAUAAUUGGACACUGUGCGCCAGUUGAGGCCUCACCAAUGCCAAGGAGAGCAGGACAGUUACUUCCCAUGUCUUACAUAUGACACUCCUGUUAAUACACCCCCAGAAUAUUAGGCUUUUUCACAGCUUUAUUACAUUGGUGACUCUCAUUUAAUUUGUGAACCACUAUAACCCCCACAACCUUUUCAGCAGUAUUACCACUUAGCCAUUUCCUCCCCGCCCAUGUUGUAAUUAUGCAUUUAAUUUGUCCUUCCUAAAGAGAAGUGCAAAAUAUAUUACUUACUGAAUUUCAUCUUGUUGAAUUCAGACUAAUUCUCCAGUUUGUUAAAGGUCAUUGUCACCAGGGCUGGCUUCUCCCCCACUCCAAAGCAUGUGCUGCCAUGUCUUUUUCAAAGACGUUUAUUUCCUUAACAGAGAUUAGCAAACAACACAAAAACAGUCUUAACUCAUUCCUUAACCUCAGGGCCUACCCCUCCAAUUUGGGGCAUGUUCUAUAAAAGAGUUCUCUAACCCAGUAACAAAUGUGAACUUCUGGGUCACUGUAACAAUCUUACCAUGGAAUUACAGACAGUCCCCUUGGAUACUCCAAUCUAUCUUGCCAUCCAAAGCAUACCUUUGUGAUAGAUGGGCCCUUGCACCAAAGAUCACAGCAAUAUUCAGGUUACUCCCAGUCCCAAAGGACCAGUCACCUUACUCCAGGUCAGUUGUAUCUCAGAUCUCACACCAAAGACAAUGCUUGUAUCCAAUCCUAUAAUAAACUAUCUAAAGAUGUAUUAAUUAGGAAAAGGAAGUGAGUUAUUUACAAGGUUAAAGCAGGUAAACGUAUAUGCACACAAAUGAGUUUCUAUCUUAAGUUUCAAGAAUUAAUAGAAGUUGACACAAUAAACAAACUGUAUGUGUCCUUUAGGGCUAACCCAGGGCAAGCACUGGGGAUCUUAUGCUUAGUAAUCUUUGCCCCUCAGAGUUCAAGCAGCAUAAAAUAUACAGUUUCUCCUUGUUAGGACCUUUUAUUCCUUCCCCCCUUUUGCUUUAAGUUGCAAGUUCAGCUCUUGGGAGGAAUUCAUUUGGAUGUCUCCUCUUCACAAGGGUGAGAGAAGAGCAAUCAGCAGAGGCCUUUGUCUUCUGAUGUUCCACACUGGUUUGUCUGGUAUCGAUGGACUUGUUUCUGUAUAACUUUGGAUCUGUGAUGUACCUGUAUCCAUCUCCUGUGUUUGAGUCUGAUCAAUGCACUGUAGCAUUGGUCUGUGUCAAAUAAAGAUACCUGAAUGACA